rnacentral:lncRNA from 1 species
UAUUCCUCUCAUUUUCUGAUUUCUCUCUACUCUUUCCAUUUCUCUCUCUUCUCUCACUUUCUCUCUCUACUCUCUCUACUCUCCUCAAAUCUCUGAAUUCUGAUUUCGAAAAGAUGAAAGUUCAAAGAUAGGCGAGAAGGGUGAGCUGGGUUUUAUACCAUAUUUUUUGUUUUGGCUAGAAAAUACCAUUUUUCCUGCAAAUGAAGCUUCAACAUGCAUAAUAAGGUAGGGUGUUUAGUUUCAAGUUCCUUCAUCAACGAUUUAUGAAAAAAAUGGGUUGUGUGUAAGAUGAAUUAAUAUUUAGAAGUUAAAUUAGGGUUUGUGUUUCAUGUUGGGGAGUAUUGUUUGUGGAAUAAAUUUUAAGUUUUGAUGUGCUACAAGACUGGGAUGGAACAAUUUCUAGUUCAAGUGUCCAAAUGCAGAAAUUUGUGAAAUUUUUUCCAAAACGUGCAUGUGGUGUGGAAACAGUGUGCAUGGCUACAUCUUAAUAUGAGAAGCGGGAAUGUUCACUAGUUAUGAUGCACGUAUGUUGUGCUCCAGAAUUUAGUGAGUAUGACAACCUAGUUAAGUUGGCCUCAGCGAAAAACAAAAUUAAGAAAAAACUUAGAGGACAUUAAGGGUCAUGCGUGUCCGUGAAAUAACGAAAACAAGUAUCAUGUUUUCCACGUGCACGGUUAAGCGAUGGUUGAUACGUAACAAGACUUUUGGAACUGUCAUUAUAACCUUAUAUACAUAAUAAUUAUGUUUUAAUUGUAUCCAUUAUACUAAUAUGUUGCCGUUUCUCUCGUUCUGUGCAUGUCAUGUGCAUAUACUAUACAUAUUAUGCACAUGUGGUGUGCAUAUAGUGUAUUAUGUGUAGAUGGUGUGUAUUUACAUCUUUAAUACUCUUUGCAUUAUAGUAGUUUACUACGUUUUCUUUUCAUUCAGAAGCAGACCUUGCAAAUAUGAAAAAAGCAAACGAGUUCGUGAAACAAUUUCCUUUGAUUCAGUUGGGUUCUUCGUGCCCAUUCAAACAACAAUUUUUUUUUCUUUUCAAAUCCUUGAAAUAUUUGAACCCAAUCAAAUUUGAUACCAAAUUCAAAUUAAUGAAUCUUCUAUUUGUCAUAUAAAGUGUAGGGUCAUUUAUUUGAUUGGGUCAUUUUUCUAAUUUCGAAGAGAGAGGAGAGAGCUAUGAGCUAUGGGUUUUGGGUUGAGCUCAGAUUUGUGAGUAUAACAUGUGCAUGUCAUGUACAUACAGUGUAUGAGCAAGCUUAAUAUGAAGAGAACGAAUGAGUACGCGAAACAAUUUCGUCCAUAUCCUUUUCUCUUCCUUCUUUCCACUCUGGUUUCUCUCUUUUCCCUCAAAUUUAUCUCUUCUCCAAAAGGCAAUUGACCUUUAAUACAUUUUUUCAUUUAAUUGCAGCAAAAACCAAACCCUGUUUUAGUGCUUGUAAAUGUUGAUCGAGAGAGGGAGCAGAGGGAGGGGGAAGACAUAAGAAAUGAAAACCCACAUACAAAUAAGAGAAAUGACAAAAAAUAAAAUCAAAUUUGAAGGAUUUGAGUCUCCUCCAAGAAACACCAAACCAAUCACUUUAACUCCAAAAAUCCAUCAAUCAAAAAGAAAAAUUAAGCAAACCCAGUUCACAAAACCUACGAAUGAAAAGGUAAAAGUCGAAGAAGAUGAGUAGGUUAGAGAGACCUCUUGUGCAUACUCGAAAUGUAGAGAGAGAGAGAGAGAGAGAGAGAGAGAGAGAGAGAGAGAGCUUGGAUGAAGAAGAUAGGUGGGUUAGAGAGAGCUCUUGGAUGAAUAAGAUGGGUGGGUUAGGGUUCUUCAAACUAAAAUUGGAGAGAUAGAUUUUCUCUCUUUCCUCUGUUUCUCUCUCUACAAAAUGAGAAAUGAGAGUUAGAAUUUUAGGAUAACCAUUUGUAUGGGAGGACAAUUUAGUCAUUUCAAGGUGUAGGAAAAAUCAUAUUUCUUUUCGAUUGUUGUGUAUGGCAUUGCAUGUUGUGUGCAUAUUUGAUGUGACAACCCGUCCCUAAUUUUAAGAUUUUAUUAAUUUUGAGGAGUGAAUCCACAAAAAUGCCCUUAGAGGUAAGGAUGUUGACUUCGUUGACCAUCAUUUACAACAACGUAUGACUCAUUCUUUUAGCGUAAUUGCGUAGUAUCCGACAAUAUGAACGUGUGUGCAUAAGCGGAAUAAAAUUAGGAGUUACGAUACGAAUGUGAAGGGUGAUUUGGUAAUUUCAUGUUUAGAGAUAUUUUGGGCUUGUUUUGUGAGCCACGUGGGGCCUACACCCCACUCUUGCCCUAUCCCGUGUCCUUUCCCUCUAGCAAUCUUGAUUCAUUUCUCUUUCAAACUCUCUCAUUUUUAAAAACACUUUUGGACCUACUCUUGUUGACAACUCACUCCCUCUUACUAAGUUUAUUAUUUUAAAA